ACUCCAUUAGGGUCUAUUAGAGCACACACACAAGACAUUUUUGAUUAAAGAAGCAAAGCUUAGACAUUUGCUGAUUAAAGAAGUUGGAGUAGGUUGACCAGACUUUCAACAAAGAAAAUAGGGAAAGCAUUGCAGAAAAGGGUACAAAGGAGGUAACUCUUAACUGCCGUUGAGGGAAUCAAAGGUUAUAUGAUUAUUCUGCUGAGAAUAAUAACUACAAGUUCCAGCGUUACAAAGAAACAUGAAUUUGAACAGCUUUCCUAAGGGAUUCAGCAAUGUAGGCUUGAAGAGAAAUAUUAAACCCCAGCCAAUGUUCACAACAUCCACUCUCAAGUGAUAGCUCCCAGGUCUUAUAGGCUGGUGCUAAUUUCAAGAAGACCACCUAGAACUAUUAUUAGGGAGCUGAAAUCAAGAAAAGAACUUCAUUUGAACUAGAGGAAAAUAAGGUCAAAUCAUUCUGAA